rnacentral:tRNA from 1 species
CAAAUUAGAGCUUGUUAAAGUUUUUCAUUUACAUUGAAAAGAAAUUAUAAUUAAAAUAAUUAAUUUGA